GACGAACGCUGGCGGCGUGCUUAACACAUGCAAGUCGAACGGAAAGGCCCUGCUUUUGUGGGGUGCUCGAGUGGCGAACGGGUGAGUAACACGUGAGUAACCUGCCCUUGACUUUGGGAUAACUUCAGGAAACUGGGGCUAAUACCGGAUAGGAGCUCCUGCUGCAUGGUGGGGGUUGGAAAGUUUCGGCGGUUGGGGAUGGACUCGCGGCUUAUCAGCUUGUUGGUGGGGUAGUGGCUUACCAAGGCUUUGACGGGUAGCCGGCCUGAGAGGGUGACCGGCCACAGUGGAACGGGGAGAGGGCCAGGCUCCGAAGGGGGGGAGCAGGGGGGAAGAGGGGCAAAGGGGGGGGAGGCCUGAGCAGGGAAGGCGGGGGGGGGAAGACGGGCCUCGGGGUGGAAAACCGGUUCAGCCUGGAAGAAGCCGCAAGUGACGGUACUGGGUGAAGAAGCGCCGGCUAACUACGUG
rnacentral:rRNA from 1 species